AACGAACGCUGGCGGCAGGCUUAACACAUGCAAGUCGAACGCAUCGCAAGAUGAGUGGCAGACGGGUGAGUAACGCGUGGGAACAUACCCUUUUCUACGGAAUAGCCCUGGGAAACUGGAAUUAAUACCGUAUACGCCCUACGGGGGAAAGAUUUAUCGGGGAAGGAUUGGCCCGCGUUGGAUUAGCUAGUUGGUGGGGUAAAGGCCUACCAAGGCGACGAUCCAUAGCUGGUCUGGGAGGAUGAUCAGCCACAUUGGGACUGAGACACGGCCCAAACUCCUACGGGAGCCAGCAGUGGGGGAUAUUGGACAAUGGGCGCAAGCCUGAUCCAGCCAUGCAGCGUGAGUGAUGAAGGCCUUAGGGUUGUAAAACUCUUUCACCGAUGAAGAUAAUGACGGUAGUCGGAGAAGAAGCCCCGGCUAACUUCGUGCCAGCCGCCACCGUAAUAC
rnacentral:rRNA from 1 species